UACGUAGGGGGCAAGCGUUGUCCGGAUUUAUUGGGCGUAAAGCGCUCGCAGGUGGUCCGCUGCGUCGUGCGUGAAAGACCCCGGCUCAACUGGGGGGCGUCGUGCGAUACGGGCGGACUGGAGGCCAGUAGGGGGAUGCGGAAUUCCGGGUGUAGUGGUGGAAUGCGUAGAGAUCCGGAGGAACACCAGCGGCGAAGGCGGCAUCCUGGACUGGUCCUGACACUCAUGAGCGAAAGCGUGGGGAGCAAACAGG
rnacentral:rRNA from 1 species